GAUCGCCGUAUGCGAUGAAAGUCGCCCGUGCGGUGAAGGCUCGUUAUAAAACAUAGAGACAGAGAAGGAUAAGGCGAGAAUAGCAAUGUAGCUCCACAAAUAACAAGUAUUUAUAUCUAU
rnacentral:misc_RNA from 1 species